rnacentral:rRNA from 1 species
AUACGGAGGGUGCAAGCGUUACUCGGAAUCACAGGGCGUAAAGCGCGCGCAGGCGGUCUUUUAAGUUGGAUGUGAAAGCCUACGGCUCAACCGUAGAACUGCAUCCAAAACUAUUAGACUAGAGUGUGGGAGAGGAAGAUGGAAUUAGUUGUGUAGGGGUAAAAUCCGUAGAGAUAACUAGGAAUACCAAAAGCGAAGGCAAUCUUCUGGAACACUACUGACGCUGAGGCGCGAAAGCGUGGGGAGCAAACAGGAUUAGAAACCCCAGUAGUCC